UUGUUUUGAAGAGAAGACGAGAAGAGAUCCGCCCACUGCCACUGUGUUUGAGUCGUCGGAAUCGACUAGACAAGCGUUUUGGACCCCCACACCGGCCACAAUGCAGAACUGAAGGAAUAGCCAUUAGGCAAGUCCGUAUACGGCGCGAUUACGGAAUUAACAACCAUUCCUUUGUGAUUUUGGACGCGUUUGGGCACUGACGCAUUGGGAAACGAUCCGAGCAGUGCGCGAGCGCGACGGGAUGGACGAGAAGAAGAAGGAGGACAGCGAAGCGGAGAUCCACGAACACGGGCCCGAACACUGGUUCUCAAAAUGGGAGCGCCAGUGUCUCGCUGAGGCCGAGCAAGACGAGCCUGACGAGGAGGACGGCGAAGAAAGCCAGCAGAAAUUGUGGCAUCUCUUUCAAAACUCUGCAACUGCAGUCGCGCAGUUGUACAAAGAUCGUGUGUGCCAACAGCAGUCCCUGGCAUUAUGGGGACCCUUCCAGAAUGCUGCCACAGCAGUCACCAACCUUUACAAAGAGAGUGUGGAAGUGCGGCAGUACUCUUAUGACCUGGGCCUUCAGUCGGGGCUUCAGCGUCGGCGUCAGGAGGUCCUCGCCUGGGUGAAGAAACGCAGGCGUACGAUUCGCCGAGAGGACCUCAUCAGCUUCCUGUGUGGGAAGGCCCCGCCCCCCCGCAACGCCAGAGCAACACCCAGGAUCACCAUGGUGUCCCCCAGUCGACCAUCGCCAACGGAAACCGCCGACUCCGUGGAAACAGACCUACAGCCUUUCAGAGAAGCCAUUGCACUGCACGGUCUGAGCGGCGCCAUGGCGAGCAUCAGUGUGCGUUCCUCCUCGGGAGGGGCUGGUCCCGGCUCCCCGACCCACCUCAGCUCUGCACCGCCACCACCGCCUGGUCGCCGUAGAAACGGCCUCCACGACGUGGACCUCAACACCUUCAUCUCGGAGGAGAUGGCCCGUCACCUGGACAACGGGCCACGGAAGCGAGGCCCUCCGGCCCAAUGUGCUGAGGUCAUCAGUGACUCGCCCACGCACAAGCGCAACCGGCUUGUCUGAUUGGCCCACUCCUCCCAUCCUCGCGCCCGCCAGGACUCAGCAGCCAAUUGGAGCUGCAGAGACGACUCGGGAGGCUCUCUGAUUGGUCAGUGGGCCUGUGAGGUCAUCAGUAUGGGAUGGACUGUGUGACGCGUAGAAGGGUGAAAAAGUUUUUGUUUGGGAGUCUGACAUGCGUGCGCGCGCGCGCACACACACACACACACACACACUUAAGCAAAGACACAGACACACCCACACACACACACACAUUUAUAGAAUUAUACUGAAACAUGUACAGAAGUAUCCUUACAAUGCUUUGUUUGUGCGUUGUGUGUGUAUGUGUAUGCACACAUGCAAGCUUGUGAGAGAGAGUGUGAGAGAGACAGAAUGUUAUAAAUAAUAGAGAUGUUUGUGUGUGUGUGAGAGAGAGAGAAUUGUGGAGAUAGGUAUGCGAGAGAGAAAUGUGUAAAAAUAAGGAGGUGUGUGUGUGUGUGUGUGUGAAAGAGAAAUGUGUUAAAAUAAGGUGUGAGUGUGACAGGGUAAUGUGAUAAAAUAAGGUUUGUGUGUGUGUGAAUGUGAAAGGGAAAUGUGUUAAAAUAAGGUGUGUGUGUGUGACACAAAUGUGUUGAGUGAGUGUGAUCAGCUGUGACCCCCUUAUGGCUGUGACCCUUUUUGUAAAGUUUUUUUUUUUUUACUUUAGAUAAUCAGUCCCCCUUUCCCAUAUGUUAGAUCAUUGUCCCCUCUAUAGAACAUCAUGAGUUCCCUCUAGAACAUCACUAGUCCCCUCUAUA